ensembl:lncRNA
CUUUAUUAAAGGUGAACACAAUGGGUUUGGUUUAUUUUUCCUAUCGGCCUGUGUCAAUCGAGGUUGAGUUUAGUGAGGGUUGAAAGUUUUCGAUCUAGAUUGCAGAUCACUAUUGUCACUUUAUACAAACUGAAAGUAUGCGUUGUUGUUGUGUGUUUGUUUUUGUGGGCAUUUGACUGAACAGCCCAGACAAAUAUUGCUACCAACAUGGCACUUCGAAACAGACCACUGCAGUGUUAGAUGACUGACAAGAUCUAUGGGGGGGCCCCCUUUGGGCCCCCCCAUACCAACUUAGUCUUCAAAGGAAUCUAGUGCCAUGGGACUCCAGUGUCUUAAAAACAUCCUCGGAAUACAUGUGUAUGAAUGGUCCACUGAAGGGUUGAUCUGGAAGCCACCACGGUCCACGCAGUAAUCUGCUGCGUGGGCCGUAGUGGCUCUCAGAGCCAUCUUUCGGUCUCGGUCAGGUUUUGUUACAGUUGCCCUUCAAUGUAGCAGGCUACGGGUUUCUGAAGAAGCCUGCUUUACGUAGCAUUGGAGUACAAAUAUUGUGCAAAAUGCUCAUGUAAUUGCACUAGCACUGGUAACCUGUAGAUUAGCUUAGUUUAACGUCAUUCGGUGCUGUCUGUCAAAUGUGUGGCUUACUUUAAGUCCACAAGGCCCUCUGGUAAACCACGUUGGAACACCCCUGGACAAGGUGAUUAGUCACUGGGUGUGUUCUAAAGUUUUGUUCCAUUUUUCACUAGUUGGUUAAGGUUUGGUAGAAUUGUUUGGAUGCUAGCGACGUGAUGGCGUAUGUACAAGAGCUUACCGUGGCCAGGCCACAGUUGCGACGGCCACGGCCAGAUGGCCUAGUGUGAGUGCAACCUUGAUUGCAUUUGUAUACUGUUUACCAUUGGAUGUUUAUGCAAUUUGGCUUAAUUCAUCCGCUGUAAAGCUGCAUUUGACUAUUCCAGGGUCGUUUUGUACAGGCUUUCAAUUGACCAUGUUGACUAGUUUGUGGGAAGUUUUUUUUUUACCCUUGCUUACAAUCCAACGGUUGCGACCACUUAUGCAACUGGGCUGUGAACCUUGCAAUUCUAGUUGCAUAUUUGUACCCAUAAGCUUGUCCAUUUCUAUCGCCAUCACUAACACUAGCUUCAGCAUUUCCUUGUAGGCCAUUAGCUGACUUGUGUAUUGGAGCGAUGAUUUGGGUAUUUUAAGAUGCUUGAAAACCUAAAAUAAAGCAAAAUGCGUGUCUGGUGUGCAAGAGCCAAUUUGUUGGCUUGCAGUAGUCGAGGAGUUGCCGUGGGUUGUAAGCCAUCUGGAGGUUGUGGCAAUGGAGGAUUGUGGUAGAUCUGCCAUCCAAGAAAGGUUAAUUCUUCUGAAGCAUGAUUAAUGGUUUAGUAAAUUGAAUCUAUUCAUAUAGAACUAUAAAAUCCAAGACUGCAGCCAGUAACUUGGAUCGCAAUAUGAGGAAAGUAUUGGUCUUCAUUUGUCACAACAGAAUAAUUAACAUGACUAACUGGGUUUCUUCCAUUUUAACUAGGGGACUUGACUGAGUCUACUUGACUUGACUACAGGGUGACAAAGACAAUUAUUCCCUGCCUAUCAAAAGAGACUUCUAAAACAUAUCUGCUAGAACAGUUCCUAUACUUUUUGUAUAAUUUGGUCAUGCUGCAAAUUUACUUUUUGUAGUUGCUCCAUAUUUAGUUCUUUGACAGACUCACCUGCUAGAAAAGUCUAUUCAAAUCGGCUAAAUAUAAUGAACUAAAUUAAUGGCCAUGAAAUGUUGUCACUCAUACUAAUGGCAAAUGCCCCCUUUCAGUUGGUGGUUCAACACUGAUGUCUCUCUAGGCUUGAGGGAGAGCUCACAAGUAAAUUACACCAAUGUCCUGGAGCAAUUGGGAAUACACUUUUAUUUAGUCUACCUGACCAGGGACAUCUUUGAACUAUAGGUCACCUAACCCAAACUUUUCACUCUUGUUAGGUUGUCCUUUUCUCUUGUUUUAACCCGAAAGGGCUGAAAAUAUCAACAUUUCAGGUAUUCUGUUUGGAUAAUGUGCAAAACUUGUGGC